CCCCGAGUGAUCUGCCCGCCUUGGCCUCCCAAAGUGCUGGGAUUACAGGCGUGAGCUACCACACCCAGCCAAUACUGGAUUCUUCUAAGUAGGAGGAAAGUGACAUUUUGCUGCCUAAUUUCUUGGCUUUUCAAGGCCACCCCGGACUAAGGCCCUGAAGUACUCAUGAUGGUUAAGCAGGAAGGUCCUGCUAUUGUCAUAAAGGGGAACCAAGGUCCAGGGCAGAAAAAGGUGGUUUAUCCUUAAAAGGGUGUGCUCUGUGAGUGACACUCUGAAGCGCCUUCACUAGCCCGUCUGGGUCCCCACAUUGUGAGGUAAGACAGGGUUUCUUCUGUCUCCCUCUGCCAGGCCUUCCUGGGGAAUUUUAAAGAGACAAAUUCUCUUCCCAAGACUGGGGGUGGAGGGAACCCAGGAGCUAUAGGCACCUGUAAACCCAAUUUGAAAAUCAGUCUAGCCAACCAGCCCCCAAAGGAACCAGAGGGAGCUAUAGAGUAACUCAAAAGCAGACACUAAUGGAGGAGAAAAGAAAUGUAGUUACAUAUUCAUCAGCUUUUAAAUAUUCAUGAGGAUUGUAAAGCAGAUUAAUUUUCAUGCCUCAUUUCUCCCGAGGUUCCUGCUGUCCAUAUUUUACCACACCAAGAUAAGAAAAGGGAGCGAUGGAUCACCUGGUCACUGCCCUUACCAUCACUUAAGGAGCAGCGCGCGCGCGUGUGUGUGUGUGUGUGUGUGUGUGUGUGUGUGUAAGGGCCAGGGAGCAGGAGCUGUGGUCGCUGUGGAGGUGUAGGCGCUAACCUCCUGAGGGACCAGCUCUACCUCCUGCCAGGCCGGGACAGCGUGAGAACAGCAGUGCACAGCUGCAGACAAGUGUGGGGAGGAGGUGAGGGUGUCUGAGGACAAGGGAGCAUCCUGGAGUAGGGCAGACUCUGGAGCCAUCAAGGUAAUUUCGGGCCUCCCCAGGGUGAAGAGAGAAGAAAGAGGACCUUCACCAGAGUCAGCAAGAGCUCCACCUCCACUCCCCUCAACUCAUGGUCGAGACAAAUGAUUGAGUGAGGGCAUGGGAGAAAUAUUCACCCAAGCCAUGCACCAGCGGUGAGGCACCAUAGAGAGAACCUGAGAUCAGAAAUGUGCCAAGAUUGCUUGGGAAACAGCCAACAAGUGUCCUGGCCAGCAGGGGCAAGGCAGAGUCGGGGGAGACUCCCUGUCAAAUGCAAGAUGUCCAGGUACACGCAAAGGCCUCAACCACCUGGAGAACACCUGCUGCAACAGCUCUGCGAAUCAUAAUUAAGCCUUACCCCGAAGUUCCUGUGCCAGCCACGGAGCCCUGCGAGCAGCCUGUUGUCCCCACUCCCAGUCACAGGAAAGGCUGCAUCUGAACCAUGGACUUGAAAAGGACCUGUUUUCCCAGGAUCAUGUCGAGAUGAUUCCCAAUGAAUAUUGGAUGAGGCUUUGCCUUGUUCCUCUUUUGUUUUCACAAGGAGAGAGAGGAAUAAAAAUACAGUGUUGAUAUAGGUUUAUCUCCUUCUCCUCCCCGCUCUGUUGAGUAGAUGUAAGUGGAUUCCCAGGGGAUACAGGUGGGCAGGGAUGAGAAGGUGACGCCUGCAUGCCUGGGCAUAGGGGUGUGUGUGUCACACUUCGGUGAGCGUACGUGAGAAUGUGUCUGUUAUAGCUAUUGUUCACUAAGGACUUAUGUCUAACAUUAGCCAGCCCAGUUCAUGACUACCCAACGGUGAAAACAU